GUGUGAUGGCAUGCCCAUGGCUGUAGAGGACAUUGGGGGUGCUCUGAUUCUCAGGCCCCGGCUUGCUCACCACCCAACUCAUACCCGCCUCAUCGGCUGUUCACACGUGCACUUCCUGAACUACCACAUUCUACAGUGAUAAUAAUGACUGAGUUCUGUCUUAUUCGGUAAAGCUCUUGGGUACAGUGGUGAUCAUGUUACACACAUAUCAAGUGGUGUGGGAAAAAAGCAUCCAGAAGGCAAUUUCAAGCAUGCAAAAUGGGAUCACUGACAUGGAAAAUCAGUGACAUCUGAUUCCCAUUGUGCCAGCCUUCUGUAAAUAUGGACUCGCCCGUUAUCUCUGAUUGAGGCAAUUCGAACUUUAAGUAAGCCUGUCUUUAUCAACUACUGUUUUAACAGCUGAUUAAUUAGUGCUGCAGAGAUCUAGGGGAGGCCUUUAUCUGAAGAGCAGUUCAACCAUUAGCAAAGGAAACUUCCUUGUGCACCAGCGGCUCAGAUAACAAGUUGGCUACCUUGUUGCCCCAGGGCACCUGUCUUGGGGAUAACCAAGAAUGUGGAUGGUGAUGGCCAUGGUGCAAGACUCAGCUUCAGUGGGGGCUGCUCCCAGGAUGUCGGGCUCACGGACCCCUCUCAUUGAUGCCAGUCUCAGGUGGCUCUAUCCCUGGAAGAACAUUCAGGUCAUUUUUGCAUCAUUUGAUCCUUGAAACUAUACUAAGAAGGGGUCAGAGUGAUAUCACCGUUUUCUCAAAUGUGAGAAUGAACACUGGCAAGAUAAAGUGACUUAUUCAAACGUACCCAGAGAGCUGAUGAGAAAGUCAAGCCUAGGAAGCAUGUAAGUCUCAUUCAUUCAUUCAUCAGUUCGUUGAAUAUCUUAUGGGUUUGGUGCCAGGGAUACUAUAGUAGCAAA
rnacentral:lncRNA from 1 species